ACGAAAAGGGAAGCUUCUCCACUAGAGGGCGUCCGUGCAAAAGAAGCGGCAGCUUGGGAAGUCCGCUCUCGUAUCUCUUACGAGCACACCAAAGCGACAGCCAUCAAUUCAACCUGCAAUGCAUCCGUGACCGUCAGGGUUGCUAAGACUGGGGUUUCAGCCUCUGGAAAGUUUUAAUUAAUUGUGGGGUCACAGCAGCGGGUUUCGGAACACAACUCCCUCUCAAUCCUUCUCCCUAUCCGAAGAGGCUUGCCCCGAAAAAGCAGCCCAGUCACCUCCCUCCCACGGUGUUGUGGAAUAUAGAGGCACAGUGCCUCUGCGCACAUGCAGAGGGCCUUCCUGCUGAACGGAACAAAGCUGAUUUAUUUAUUUUUACAAAGAAGAAUUAAGCACACAGUGGCUCUGAGGAAAUUGCUAAGAUCGAAUCAGAAGCUGAGGGAAAUAAUGUAUGCAACACAGAGACACCAAUGUGAUGGAGGGGACAGCGCUAGAUCAGAACCAGAAGACCUGGUUUUAAAUCCUCGUCGGACAGUUACUACCUUUCAGCCUAACCUACCUCACAAGCCAGGACUCUGCUUCUUGGAAGAAAGACCGGAUAAAAAUGAAAUAAAUGCAGAGGCGCAGCGCAGCAAAGUUUAGAGUGGGCCCUGGGACAAAAAGUGAAUAUGGGCUCCUCCCCACCCCCAUCUUCUUCCGAAAAGUUCGGAGCUGAAGAAAAGUUGCUCUUUACAACAAACAUUCAUGCCGCUGGCGUCCCCCCCCCCCUUCCCCAGGAGCCCAGCAGAGACACUUGUGUCCAUCCUGUUCAUUUGUCCCCACACACCCCUGAAUAAAUGAUGAAACGCCACAGCACUCCUGGCCAUGCGUUUGUCACAGAGAGGCACGGCGUGUCUUUAAUUGCCCUUUGAAGACAUUAGACUGAGUGUGGUGGCUACUACGAGCUGCUUCUCAGCUUUCCAGUGCAUGCCUCUUGGAGAUGGGGAGAGAGGAGGAGGCGUGUCCAGAGAGCAGCACUCCUCACGGCCCCCGAGUGGAAAAGCUUCGGUGCGAUAUACUACACGCGACUCGAAAAUUAGAUUCCAUCCACGCUGGGCUUUGGAGACACGGCGUUUUCCACCACGUGCAAGAAAUGCAAGACGUGCGGCGCGUCGUGUCGCGUACAGACGGCGGCCAUUUUGAAUGUGGCAAUAGUGGUAGGGAACGCCUAGUAGGCUUCUGCCCUUCAUUGUGACAUGCCUUUGACUCCCCCUAGGGGCCCGAAAGAGAUUACUUAUGAAGGGGGCAGCAGAUUUUCAGUCAUCCUCCUGGAACCAGCACGUUUCUGCAUCUUCGUUUUCCGCAGCAGAGGGCCGGACCUGUAGCUCCACACAACAUGGAAGGAAAUCAAGAAACAACAUUUCAGCGAAAGUGUAGAUAGUACAAUGCUUCUGGAGUCGUUUUCACUUAAGGCACCAGUCUUACCGCAUGAAUGGCAGGCAGUAUGCUGUAAAUCGCCUGCCCUCGCUCACUUCCUUUCCCUUCCUCUGUUGUCUCCCUUAUAUUUCUUGUUCAGAUUAUGAGCCCCUUUGGGAUAGAGAACCGUCUUUUUCAUGCUGGGUAACGCGUGCUGCCCGCAGCUGACUUCCUACAUCAACGUUUUAUUUGGAUAUCUUACAAAUGAAAGUAAAGGUACAAUGCGUGAGAUCAAACGAACCUAAGCGUGUCUAUUUAAAAACUCGAUGGAGUUUAAGCCUCAGUUUAUUGAGUGUCUGAAUGCAGUAGGGUUUAUGCACACUUACUGGAGUUUAAGAUCACAGCUUUACAACCUUGUCUAUUCAAAGUAACCCUUACACAACCUCUGUAAGGUAGGGCAAUAAUAUUUAUCCCUAUAUUGCAAAGUGAGGGCUGGGCAAGAAGGAACAGGGGCUUUUCUAAAUUCAUCGAAUCUGUUCAUAGCUAUGGCAAGAUCUGGCCCAGGCAUUCGCUGGCUCCCAGCCACUAUUCCCUCUAAGGUGUGCACACACUCACAAGUUUUCUGAUGUCUGCUCAGUUAAUUUUAGAUCCCGCUCAGGUUGAAUUAGGAAGGCCUCACACUGACUGCAUGCACACACACAGUGCCUUGAUACUGCCGCCCAGAACAAAACUCAUUCCACACAGAGAUGGGAAAAAUUAGAGGGUGCUAUCAUAAUGCACCCAACUCUUGAUCAUGAAGGUAAGAGGUGCCUUCAUAUUCCAGUGCUGGCACUCUAUCAGCCUCAUCCUUUUGAAAGCCAGAGAUCUCUUGUUCAGAACAUCACAUGGUUCCUGGCAGGGCCUUUCUGCUUUUGUCAUGGCGUACAAUGUGAGCAGAAGGGGUAUGCCUGAUAGCCAGCCAGGAUUAGGAAGCUGGUCAAUUGAAGUAUUCCAUGGCAGCUGGGAAUUGGAGGCUUACCUUUUUAAUUACACAUGGUUUUACGCGGUCAGGGUCACACUCUCUUUACGUGGGAGCAGGCACACUCCUUCACAUAGCCAUCUGCUACAACUUCUGAACAGAACCAAAGCUUGCAGGAUUAGGCAGGAUUUUACCCUCUUGGCAAGUUGCCAGAAUAGGACGAUGUAUUCUGAACAAAUGUCAGCCAAGCUAGUUUGUGACUCAUGUACAUGAAUGUUUUGUCAGUGCACAAACCAAGGUGUCUCAUGUGUGGUAUAAAGGAUUUGUUUUGUAAAUGAAAAUACAUAGCAUGCUGUUUCUCUUCCCAUCUCUGAUCCUUAAUAACAGACCAUGGAAGUUGAUGACACCAUUUGGCAAGUAAUACAUAUGUGUUUUGGUCUUCCACGCUUUUGUAGAUGAAUAGGUUAGCCUAGAGCAAAGCCUGAAGGCACUUGGCCCUAAGUGUCAGUAUGUUUGUAAACAAAAAGGUAGUAGAAAUCAGAUUGCCUUCCAUUUGCUGUGAGCAAGAGGGGCUCCAAGUGAUCUGGUAUGGGGCACUGCCAACUUUUAAAAGGGACUAGAAGAGUGCUUGGCAAUUCCCAGCCUCCAGGAAGCCAUGCUGUCUAAAGAUUUAACUGUGGCAUCUAGACUGGUGUCACACUUCACCAGAAGGAACAGGUGCGCAGUCUGGGAGUGCUUCUGCAUCAACACCUCUCCCUGAUAUCCCAGGUUGAGGUGGUGGCUUCAGCUGAUACACCAGCUGCAUCUGUUUCUUGAGAUGAACAACCUCCAAACAGUGGCACACAUGCUGGCAACCUCCAGACUUGACUACUGCAAUGAACUCUAUGUGGGGCUGCCUUUGUACAUAGUCUAGAAACGGCAGUUGGUACAGAAUGUGGCAGCCAGGUUGGUCUCUGGGUCAACUUGAAGAGACCAUAUUACUCCUAUACUAAAAGAGCUACGCUGAUUACCGAUAAGUUUCUGGGCAAAAUACAAGGUGCUGGUUAUAACCUAUAAAGUCCUAAACCGUCCAGAGAUGAAAGUUUGGGUGGUAUAGAAGUUUAAUGAAUACAUAAAUAAAUAAAAAGCUUAGGCCCAGGCUUUUAAGGAGAACAUCUUCUGCCCCACCGCCCAUUGAGAUAAUCUUGAGAUGUCCAUUUGCAGCUGCCACCAGUCUGUCUGGCGGCCAUGCAGGGGCAAGUCUUUUCUGUUGCUGCCCCAAGACUCUGGCAUGGACAUCGGCACCCUUUGUACUGGACUUCUGGGCGGAAGUCCGGUCCCCCAUGCCCCCUAGGGCCUCCAAAUUCCCAUCUCCCUGCUGUGCUGCUGCCUGCCCACCAGCAAGGGCACCUGCAGCCCGAUCCCCUCCCAGCAGCAGCCUUCCUGAGCUUCGCCUAGCUGACCAUCAGCUGUUUAGUGGGUGGGCAAGGCUUCCGGAGGCCUUUCUGAUUUCCUGAAGCUCUCCAGGCAGCAGAGAAGAAAGGAGGCAGAAUGGUGUCCUGUGCACACUACAUGACCUGGCCUGUGCUGAGCCUGUGUCUGCCUGGGACAACUCCGCAGACCUAGUAAUGGAGGUACUGUAUGUGAUUUCCUUUUUGUAGUUGUUCCACCCACCUUUGAAUAUUUGUUGAACAGCUUGCCACAGGGCUUUGAUAUCAGGCACAGAUGUAGGGCAGGUUGGGAGGGCUCUAAAUAUUGAAUUUGAAGUGGAUUGGGCAAUUUGAUUUUUAAUAUAUAAUAAUAUAAGUGGGUUGGUCAAUCUAGUUUUUAAAUCAUUUCCCCCCAAUCUGCAUUAAAGCUGGCAGAAAGUAUUCUAUCUGCAGAGUACUUCACACCUAGUGAAAGUGGAGCUAACUGUUAACAUCCAAAUAAUCAGUUAAAAAAAAUGCCCUAUGCUCAAGUUGGUUUGCAAUCCAAGUGAGAAUUGUGAAGCAAGUGGCAUGUGUCGUGGUUUUAACUGUCCCCCCCGCCCCCAAAAUGCACUGUAUGUCCAAAGCUAGCUUGUGAACCAUAUGUGCAUUUGAACUGAGCAGGAAACGUAUUGUAUCCCAGUUAGUUUUUGAAUGGUCAAUAAAUCCAUUGGAAGUUGCACCGUCUUUUUUUUUUUUUUUUUUUAAUGCUCUCUGGCCUAUACCUGUCGCUUUGUGAUAAAUGAGCAAGGUGGUGGUAAUCAGCCAGAAUUUAAGUGCCAGGACUCUCAGUGCUAAAUAUGAUGUGGCUGUUCAGGUCACUGGGAAGUAUCCAAAUUUUUUCCUUAAAGAAACCAAAAGGGUUUUCCAGCUUUCCCUGAGCAUGUUCUGGUGUAAAAAGUUAGUACAUUCAGCUAAUUUAAGUGUCAGGAUUCUCAGUGCAAAAUGUAGUACGUGCAGGUCACUGGGAAGUAUCUUCUUCAGAAAUUUUUCUAAAAAACAAAGAAGUUUCCUGAUCUGGUGUAAGAAAUAAUGCCCUGCAGCUUAUUUUGUGGUGGGGUGGUGAGGGCAGUAGACCUCCAAAGGCCUUUAGGUCCAGGUUUCAAAAUUGUCUUGGUACACCUCUGGGCAUGUGCUCCCUGCUAAGAGCCUCCCCAUCUCUGACAACUUGUAACAAGUCCCUAAAACCUUAUCUUUUCACCCAAGCUUUUUAAUUUAACUGUGGUUUUUAAUUAUUUUAAGAGUUUUACAUGUAUGUUUUAACUUGUUUUAUGUUGUUGUAAACCAUCCAGAGACAGAAGUUUAGGGUGGUAUACAAAUCUGAUAAAUAAAUAGGUAGGAGUUAUUAAAUAACAUCUUUAUUUGUUCCA